rnacentral:rRNA from 1 species
CUGCUGCCUCCCGUAGGAGUCUGGGCCGUGUCUCAGUCCCAAUGUGGCCGAUCAACCUCUCAGUCCGGCUACCGAUCGUCGCCUUGGUGGGCCGUUGCCCCACCAACUAGCUAAUCGGCCGCGAGCCCAUCUUCCAGCGGAUUGCUCCUUUGGCUGCAUCGGGAUGCCCCAUCGCAGCGUUAUGCGGUAUUAGCAGUCGUUUCCAACUGUUAUCCCCCUNUGAAAGGCAGGUUGCUCACGUGUUA